rnacentral:tRNA from 1 species
GGAGAAUUGGCCGAGUGGUCGAAGGCGCACGCUUGGAAAGCGUGUAUACGGCAACGUAUCGAGGGUUCGAAUCCCUUGUUCUCCGCCA